UAAGACAGAGGUGCCAAGCGUUAGGCGGAAUCACUGGGCUUAAAGCGUGUGUAGGCGGAUUGGUAAGUACCUUGUGAAAUCCCACAGCUCAACUGUGGAACUGCUCGGUAUACUGCUUAUCUUGAGCCACUUAGGGGCUGUCGGAACAAACGGUGGAGCGGUGAAAUGCGUAGAUAUCGUUUGGAACGCCAAAGGUGAAAACAGACAGCUGGGAGUGUGCUGACGCUGAGACACGAAAGCCAGGGGAGCGAACGGGAUUAGAUACCCCGGUAGUCCUGGCCCUAAACGAUGUCGACUAGAUCGUGGUGGCUCUGACGCCAUCACGGUCGAAGCAAAAGUGCUAAGUCGACCGCCUGGGAAGUACGGUCGCAAGGCUA
rnacentral:rRNA from 1 species